UUCAGAGGUCUCGAGCGUUGUUCGGAUUUACUGGGCGUAAAGGGAACGUAGGCGGCCGGGUGUGUCGAAUGUGAAAGCCCACAACUCAACUGUGGAAUGGCAUUCGAAACUACCUGGCUAGAGUACUGGAGAGGAGAGCGGAAUUCUUGGUGUAGCGGUGAAAUGCGUAGAUAUCAAGAGGAACACCGGUGGCGAAGGCGGCUCUCUGGACAGAUACUGACGCUGAGGCUCUAAAGUUAGGGGAGCAAACAGGAUUAGAUACCCU
rnacentral:rRNA from 1 species